rnacentral:ncRNA from 1 species
CGAAGUUUCCCUCAGGAUAGCUUGAACGCAACGGUUUUGUCAGGUAAAGCGAGAAUGAUUAGAGGCCUGUGGGCUGAAACAGCUUGCACCUAUUCUCAAACUUUAAAUGGGCAAGAGGCCCGGGAUGCUUGAGUGAUCCCGGGCGGCGAACGGCGCGUUCAAAGUGGGCCAUUUUUGGUAAGCAGAACUGGCGAUGCGGGAUGAACCGAACGCCGCGCUAAGGUACCCAAGUGUCCGCUCAUCAGAUACCACUCAUCAUUGUCCCUAACUCGACUCGCACAGCAAAAAAAUCCGGUGCUCGCGCGCCGCUCCCACGCUUGACCACACACUCGCUG